GCCUUCGUGGUGUAGCGGUCAGCACGCUUGACGCGUAACCGAGAGGUCCGUGGUUCGAUUCCCGGAGAAGGCG
rnacentral:tRNA from 1 species